rnacentral:rRNA from 1 species
GGUUAUAAGUUAGUAUUAAUAAUCUUACCUGCUCUAUGCUAUAGUAAAUGGCUGCAGUAUUCUGACUGUACUAAGGUAGCAUAAUCAAUAGCUUUUUAAUUGAAGGCUGGUAUGAAAGGUUAAAACUAUGGGGGCGGUUUUAUUAAUUAAUUUUGAAUUUAAAUUAUAAGUAAAAAUGCUUAUAUUAACCCUUGGGACGAGAAGACCCUAGAAGCUUUAUGCUAAGGUAUUUUAGUUGGGGUGACUAUUGAAGAUAAAUAUCUUUGGUUAGUAUAGUGAAAAAUAAGUUAAGUUACUCUAGGGAUAACAGCGUAAUUUAUUUUCUGAGUUCUUAUUGAAAAAUAGGUUUGCGACCUCGAUGUUGAAUUAAAUGGAAGUAGGGUGGAGAAGCUUUACAGUUUUAGUCUGUUCGACUAUUAAAAUUUUACA